AUACGUAGGGGGCGAGCGUUGUCCGGAAUGAUUGGGCGUAAAGGGCGCGUAGGCGGCCCGGUAAGUCUGGAGUGAAAGACCUGCUUUUAAGGUGGGAAUUGCUUUGGAUACUGUCGGGCUUGAGUGCAGGAGAGGUAAGUGGAAUUCCCAGUGUAGCGGUGAAAUGCGUAGAGAUUGGGAGGAACACCAGUGGCGAAGGCGACUUACUGGACUGUAACUGACGCUGAGGCGCGAAAGUGUGGGGAGCAAACAGGAUUAGAUACCCUGGUAGUCCACACUGUAAACGGUGAAUGCUAGGUGUAGGGGGUAUCGACCCCUUCUGUGCCGCAGUUAACACAAUAAGCAUUCCGCCUGGGGAGUACGGCCGCAAGGUUGAAACUCAAAUGAAUUGACGGGG
rnacentral:rRNA from 1 species